UAGUGUCAGCGGCGGACGGGUGAGUAACACGUGGGUAACCUGCCUGUAAGACUGGGAUAACUCCGGGAAACCGGGGCUAAUACCGGAUGCUUGAUUGAACCGCAUGGUUCAAUUAUAAAAGGUGGCUUUUAGCUACCACUUACAGAUGGACCCGCGGCGCAUUAGCUAGUUGGUGAGGUAACGGCUCACCAAGGCGACGAUGCGUAGCCGACCUGAGAGGGUGAUCGGCCACACUGGGACUGAGACACGGCCCAGACUCCUACGGGAGGCAGCAGUAGGGAAUCUUCCGCAAUGGACGAAAGUCUGACGGAGCAACGCCGCGUGAGUGAUGAAGGUUUUCGGAUCGUAAAACUCUGUUGUUAGGGAAGAACAAGUACCGUUCGAAUAGGGCGGUACCUUGACGGUACCUAACCAGAAAGCCACGGCUAACUACGUGCCAGCAGCCGCGGUAAUACGUAGGUGGCAAGCGUUGUCCGGAAUUAUUGGGCGUAAAGCGCGCGCAGGCGGUUUCUUAAGUCUGAUGUGAAAGCCCCCGGCUCAACCGGGGAGGGUCAUUGGAAACUGGGGAACUUGAGUGCAGAAGAGGAGAGUGGAAUUCCACGUGUAGCGGUGAAAUGCGUAGAGAUGUGGAGGAACACCAGUGGCGAAGGCGACUCUCUGGUCUGUAACUGACGCUGAGGCGCGAAAGCGUGGGGAGCGAACAGGAUUAGAUACCCUGGUAGUCCACGCCGUAAACGAUGAGUGCUAAGUGUUAGAGGGUUCCGCCCUUUAGUGCUGCAGCAAACGCAUAAGCAC
rnacentral:rRNA from 1 species